rnacentral:rRNA from 1 species
UCCCCCAGUAGCGGCGAGCGAACGGGGAGCAGCCCAGAGCCUGAAUCAGUGUGUGUGUUAGUGGAAGCGUCUGGAAAGGCGCGCGAUACAGGGUGACAGCCCCGUACACAAAAAUGCACAUGCUGUGAGCUCGAUGAGUAGGGCGGGACACGUGGUAUCCUGUCUGAAUAUGGGGGGACCAUCCUCCAAGGCUAAAUACUCCUGACUGACCGAUAGUGAACCAGUACCGUGAGGGAAAGGCGAAAAGAACCCCGGCGAGGGGAGUGAAAAAGAACCUGAAACCGUGUACGUACAAGCAGUGGGAGCACAGAGCAAUCUGUGUGACUGCGUACCUUUUGUAUAAUGGGUCAGCGACUUAUAUUCUGUAGCAAGGUUAACCGAAUAGGGGAGCCGAAGGGAAACCGAGUCUUAACUGGGCGUUAAGUUGCAGGGUAUAGACCCGAAACCCGGUGAUCUAGCCAUGGGCAGGUUGAAGGUUGGGUAACACUAACUGGAGGACCGAACCGACUAAUGUUGAAAAAUUAGCGGAUGACUUGUGGCUGGGGGUGAAAGGCCAAUCAAACCGGGAGAUAGCUGGUUCUCCCCGAAAGCUAUUUAGGUAGCGCCUCGUGAAUUCAUCUCCGGGGGUAGAGCACUGUUUCGGCAAGGGGGUCAUCCCGACUUACCAACCCGAUGCAAACUGCGAAUACCGGAGAAUGUUAUCACGGGAGACACACGGCGGGUGCUAACGUCCGUCGUGAAGAGGGAAACAACCCAGACCGCCAGCUAAGGUCCCAAAGUCAUGGUUAAGUGGGAAACGAUGUGGGAAGGCCCAGACAGCCAGGAUGUUGGCUUAGAAGCAGCCAUCAUUUAAAGAAAGCGUAAUAGCUCACUGGUCGAGUCGGCCUGCGCGGAAGAUGUAACGGGGCUAAACCAUGCAC